rnacentral:rRNA from 1 species
GACGAACGCUGGCGGCGUGCCUAACACAUGCAAGUCGAACGGAAAGGCCCUGCGUUUGUUCCGUUCUCGUUUGGGGAACGGGGGAGUGACACGUGUGUAACCUGUCCUUGUCUUUGUGAGAACUUCACGGAACACCGGCUCAUAUAGCGGAUGAUCUCCUGCUCCGCGGGGUUGGUUGGUAAGUGUCGGCGUUGGUGGAUGGUCUCGCUGGUUAUGAGCUGCUUUGUGGGGUAGUGGCUUACCAAGGCUUUGACGGGUAGCCGGCCUGAGAGGGUGACCGGCCACAUUGGGCCUGCGAUACGGACCAGACGCCUACGGGAGGCAGCAGUGGGGAAUAUUGCACAAUGGGCGGAAGCCUGAUGCAGCAGCGCCGCGUGCGGGAUGACGGCCUUCGGGUUGUAAACAGCUUUCGCAUGUGACGAAGAGUGAGUGACGGUAAUGGGUAAAGAAGCACCGGCUAACUACGUG